rnacentral:lncRNA from 1 species
GCGCCAAAGAGUCAAUUAUAUCAAUAGAGAAACAUGAAUGGUCCUCACUAGGGUACUUAAUAGAAUCUGAAAGAUUGAAACUAACAACUUCCCCAUCAAAUUCCAUGGACAAAGUUCCAUUAAACACGUCGAUUUUAGUCCGAGCCGUUUUCAUGAAUAGCUUUCCAAGGAGGAUGGGCACUGAAGGGGUAUGGUCCGAUUCAUCCAUUUCGAGGACAUAGAAAUCCGCCGGAAAGAUUAAGUGAUUUACCUGCACAAGAACAUCUUCCAAAACUCCCUUUGGAUAGGCGUUAGAUCUAUCGGCCAAUUGUAUGAUUACA